rnacentral:rRNA from 1 species
UCGGCAAUGGAUAUCUUGGCUCUCGCAUCGAUGAAGAGCGCAGCGAAAUGCGAUACGUGGUGCGAAUUGCAGAAUCCCGUGAACCAUCGAGUUUUUGAACGCAAGUUGCGCCUGAGGCCAACUGGCCAAGGGCACGUCCGCCUGGGCGUCAAG